GGGGCUGUAGCUCAGCUGGGAGAGCACUACAAUCGCACUGUAGGGGUCAGGGGUUCGAAUCCCCUCAGCUCCA
rnacentral:tRNA from 2 species